rnacentral:rRNA from 1 species
AGUGAACGCUGGCGGUAGGCCUAACACAUGCAAGUCGAACGGCAGCACAGUAAGAGCUUGCUCUUACGGGUGGCGAGUGGCGGACGGGUGAGGAAUACAUCGGAAUCUACUUUUUCGUGGGGGAUAACGUAGGGAAACUUACGCUAAUACCGCAUACGACCUACGGGUGAAAGCAGGAGAUCUUCGGACCUUGCGCGAUUGAAUGAGCCGAUGUCGGAUUAGCUAGUUGGCGGGGUAAAGGCCCACCAAGGCGACGAUCCGUAGCUGGUCUGAGGGGAUGAUCAGCCACACUGGAACUGAGACACGGUCCAGACUCCUACGGGAGGCAGCAGUGGGGAAUAUUGGACAAUGGGCGCAAGCCUGAUCCAGCCAUACCGCGUGGGUGAAGAAGGCCUUCGGGUUGUAAAGCCCUUUUGUUGGGAAAGAAAAGCAGCAGGUUAAUACCCCGCUGUUCUGACGGUACCCAAAGAAUAAGCACCGGCUAACUUCGU